rnacentral:rRNA from 1 species
GAUGAACGCUGGCGGCGUGCCUAAUACAUGCAAGUCGAACGCUGGAGAUCUAGCUUGCUAGAUCGAAGGAGUGGCGAACGGGUGAGUAAUACAUAAGCAACCUACCCACGAAGACUGGGAUAAUCUCUGGAAACGGGGACUAAUACCGGAUAGGUAAUCGGAAGGCAUCUUCUGGUUAUUAAAGGUUAAAAACACUGGUGGAUGGGCUUAUGGCACAUUAGUUAGUUGGUGAGGUAACGGCCCACCAAGACGAUGAUGCGUAGCCGGCCUGAGAGGGUGAACGGCCACAUUGGGACUGAGACACGGCCCAGACUCCUACGGGAGGCAGCAGUAGGGAAUUUUCGGCAAUGGGGGCAACCCUGACCGAGCAACGCCGCGUGAGUGAAGACGGCCUUCGGGUUGUAAAGCUCUGUUGUAAGGGAAGAACGGUAGAUAGAGAAUAUCUAAGUGACGGUACCUUACCAGAAAGCCACGGCUAACUACGUG